AUUGAGCGCUGGCGGCAUGCUUUACACAUGCAAGUCGAACGGUAACAGGGAGCUUGCUCCGCUAACGAGUGGCGAACGGGUGAGUAAUGCGUCGGAACGUGCCGAGUAGUGGGGGAUAACGCAUCGAAAGGUGUGCUAAUACCGCAUACGUACUGAGGUAGAAAGUGGGGGACCUUCGGGCCUCACGCUAUUCGAGCGGCCGACGUCUGAUUAGCUAGUUGGUGAGGUAAAGGCUCACCAAGGCGACGAUCAGUAGCGGGUCUGAGAGGAUGAUCCGCCGCACUGGGCCGGAGACACGGCCGAGACUCCUACGGGAGGCAGCAGUGGGGAAUUUUGGACGAUGGGCGCAAGCCUGAUCCAGCCAUGCCGCGUGUCUGAAGAAGGCCUUCGGGUUGUAAAGGACUUUUGUCCGGGAGAAAAUGCCUGGUGUUAAUAGCACUGGGAGCUGAGAGUACCGGAAGAAUAAGCACCGGCUAACUACGUGCCAGCCGCCGCCGUAACAC
rnacentral:rRNA from 1 species